UCCCGGGUGGCUCAGUCGGUUAAGCAUCCGACUUCAGCUCGGGUCAUGAUUUCACGGUUCGUGGGUUCGAGCCCCGCAUCGGGCU
rnacentral:tRNA from 1 species